rnacentral:rRNA from 1 species
CGUGUAGGCGGAGAUGCAAGUCAGAUGUGAAAUCCCGGGGCUCAACCCCGGAACUGCAUUUGAAACUGUAUCCCUUGAGUGUCGGAGAGGCAAGCGGAAUUCCUAGUGUAGCGGUGAAAUGCGUAGAUAUUAGGAGGAACACCAGUGGCGAAGGCGGCUUGCUGGACGAUAACUGACGCUGAGGCGCGAAAGCGUGGGGAGCAAACA